GCCUUCGUGGUGUAGCUGUCAGCACGCUCGACGCGUAACCGAGAGGUCCGUGGUUCGAUUCCCUGCGAAGGCG
rnacentral:tRNA from 1 species